AACGCCGCGUGAGCGAUGAAGGCCUUCGGGUCGUAAAGCUCUGUUGUUAGGGAAGAACAAGUAUCGGAGUAACUGCCGGUACCUUGACGGUACCUAACCAGAAAGCCACGGCUAACUACGUGCCAGCCACUGCGGUGACUGAGCGGGCUGGCAAGGCGCAUA
rnacentral:rRNA from 1 species